rnacentral:rRNA from 1 species
AGAGUUUGAUCAUGGCUCAGAAACGAACGCUGGCGGCGUGGAUAAGACAUGCAAGUCGAGCGAGAUUUUUCGUUGUAGCAAUACGAUGGAAAGUCUAGCGGCGAACGGGUGCUUAACACGUGGGCAACCUGCCAUGAAGUGGGGGAUAGCUCGCCGAAAGGCGAAUUAAUACCGCAUGUGAUUAGAGAGGACAUCCUUUCGAAAUUAAAGUCGGGGCAACCUGACGCUUCUUGUGGGGCCCGCGGCCUAUCAGCUAGUUGGUGAGGUAACGGCUCACCAAGGCUUUGACGGGUAGCUGGUCUGAGAGGACGACCAGCCACACUGGGACUGAGACACGGCCCAGACACCUACGGGUGGCAGCAGUCGAGAAUUUUUGACAAUGGGGGAAACCCUGAUCGAGCGACGCCGCGUGGAGGAUGAAGGUCUUCGGAUUGUAAACUCCUGUCAUUGGGGAACAAGGUGCAUACGUUAACUGCGUGUGUAUUGAUAGUACCCGAAGAGGAAGGGACGGCUAACUCUGUGCCAGCAGCCGCGGUAAUACAGAGGUCUCAAGCGUUGUUCGGAUUCAUUGGGCGUAAAGGGUGCGUAGGCGGCGCGGUAAGUCGGGUGUGAAAUCUCGGAGCUUAACUCCGAAACUGCAUUCGAUACUGCCGUGCUUGAGGACUGGAGAGGAGACUGGAAUUUACGGUGUAGCGGUGAAAUGCGUAGAUAUCGUAAGGAAGACCAGUGGCGAAGGCGGGUCUCUGGACAGUUCCUGACGCUGAGGCACGAAGGUCAGGGGAGCAAACGGGAUUAGAUACCCCCGUAGUCC